GGGGACGUUACGGAUUCGACAGGGGUAGAUUGAGCUCAAGUCGCGCGUCGAGGCUACGACUCGUUAACCGUUACAGCCAAUUAUAACUGGCAAAGAAAACAAUUACUCUUUAGCAGCUGCGUAAGCAAUGCUAAAGGAUCCUUCCUAUCAUCGCCCAUGUGCUAGAUGAAGGGUCUCACUUAUUAGUGGGCUACGCUAUGCUCCUCCGUCUGGGGAGUUAUAGAAGAGAUUAAUCAGACUAGCUAUUCGGACGCCUGUUGGUAGGCAGAAGAACUAGCGAAUUACGAAUGUACCAACUACACGCGUAGACGCUUGAGUGCCAAUAUCUCUGGACGUGGGUUCGACUCCCACCGUCUCCACCA
rnacentral:tmRNA from 1 species